AUAAAAAAAUAAAUAUAUAUAUAAAAAAAGAAUAAUAUAUUUUUUAAAAAGCCCAAACAAAAUGAAGAAGUUAGCCAGUAACUCAGCCAGUGUCAACAUACUGGGUUUGCACAAUUACAGUAAACACAGGGUGAAAGCCCCGGAUGUCAGUCAGGAUCUUAAUAAGUGCACCGCCCUCCUGAGGUCCGGCUCCGGGCGGAACAGGCAGAAAGAGGUGCGUUUGAUUUAAGACCCUAUAAACACUGUGACAGCAGAAGAAGAAGAAGCUUAAAGUUGAGCUUUAAGAGGCUAAUUAGCAGCAAGAACUCACCACAUUAGUGAGGAAAUCUCCGUCGCUGAGCUCCUCCAGGUCCAACAGGUUGUGACAGGCAGCUCUCUGAUUGGCUCCCGGUGUGAUGAUGCAGGUAUGACUCAUCUUCUAUUCUGAGCCAAAGAGGUGACUCCGGGCUCCGACCUUUCGUCUCCUUGGGGACCGCUGUGACGUCAUCGGCCCUCCACACAUUCAUUGUUGUCGUCGUCCUCCUCUGUCUCUCUAAUCCAGUCAGGUUUGUUGGCAUCACAAACAACCAUCGAGGUGGAGGACACAUCGUUUACGUCUGUCUGUCUGUCUGAAUGUCUCUCGCUGGUCGUUAAGUUCAGAAGUUCAGAGUGAGCGAUGAGGAGAGAGAGAGAUACAUGGAGAAAUCACAUAACGCCAAGACUGUAAUCAAAACCAGUCUCAUUCUGUACACGCUGUUACGUCACAUAAACACUCCUACAACAAGAGCGGGUCAGCUUCCUGGUCAGAGCGUGGCGAACGGUCAGCAUGUAGGAGCGGCGGUCAGGCAGAGGGCGCUGCUGGUCCAGGACCAGCCUGUUGGACACAAGGAACAAAACAUCAACAGCUGGGUGCCUUCUCAAGACUGCAGGGAACAGUAGAUGACAAGAGCCAUUUGUUUGGAGGAACUGUGUCCAACUCCAGACGCCAGUAUCCCAUUCUGGGUCUAUUCAAGACACAUAUACACACUCUUUUUUAGGGAUUUUCAAUGACUUAACAACCAUUCCACUUCACUAUAAUGGUUUGGAGAGUCUCUGAAUGUUCAGUUUCAAAAUGUCAAGUGAGCUGUUGUUUGCCCGAUCUGUGGCUCAAGUCUUUUCGAUGGAUUUGACGUCACCAGAGUCUCACCAGCAGUUUAAGUUCUUUUAAGUUUAAAGGACUCAUUUGACAUUUUGGAAAAUACGCCUAUUUGUACAUGAGAGUGGUGUCAACCUUCUCAUUUAACCCUCAUCAAGAAAUCUAAUUUUUGUGUGAUUGAUGAGGAUCCGUCACUGCCGAAACUUGGAAAUGUACUUUCUUUUCAAACA